AUUGAACGCUGGCGGCAGGCCUAACACAUGCAAGUCGAACGAGUGGCGGACGGGUGAGUAAUGUCUGGGAAACUGCCUGAUGGAGGGGGAUAACUACUGGAAACGGUAGCUAAUACCGCAUACCAUCGGAUGUGCCCAGAUGGGAUUAGCUAGUAGGUGGGGGAAAGGCUAACCUAGGCGACGAUCCCUCGCUGGUCUGAGAGGAUGACCAGCCAAACUGGAACUGGGAAACGGGCCAGACUCCUACGGGAGGCAGCAGGGGGGAAUAUUUCACAAAGGGGGCAAGCCUGAUGCAGCCAUGGCGGGUGUAUGAAGAAGGCCUUCGGGUUGUAAAGGACUUUCAGCGGGGAGGCGUUAACCGCAGAAGAAGCACCGGCUAACGCCGGGCCAGCAGCCGCGGGAAGUAC
rnacentral:rRNA from 1 species